AAUGAACUGCAGAGAUGUGUUAAAAUGC
rnacentral:sRNA from 1 species